UUUUUUUUUUUUUUUUUUUUUUUUUUUUUUGUUGCAGGAGGAUCAAACAAACGAUAGCGAUCGCAAUGGUCUAAUGUCUGCAAUGAUGUGGCAUGGCAGGCAGCCAGGCAACGUUGAACAAGAGUUACCUAUUUAUUAGUUACUUGCAUCUAUUUAACAAAUAAAUAGGUAAAGUCAGUGAAAUUUUACACAAUUUCAGAUGAAUCUGUUUGCCUAUAGUUACUCAAGGAGUAUAACUAUGAUUGAGCGAUUGAAAACUACAAAUUAAAAAAGAGAAAUUCUAAAAUCAAAUACCAAUAUUUAACGUUUAUUCUACCUCUUGUUUUUUUUGGCACUAGUUUUAUUAGUAAGUGUGGUCGAUGUUGCUUUUGUCUAAAUCCAUGACUUUCUUAUAAGAUUUGGAUCCACGUAAGAUUUGUUCUUAAAAUUUAGACGCAAAUUUUGUGAAACUAUCAUCAUGGGUGUGGAUAAAAUCGAGAUAAAGUGAAAGGUUUAAUUUAAAACUUGGACUCAAAUUGUAAACAAUAUCAUGGGUACGGUCUAGAUUACAUUCGGUUGACAACUUGGCAUGCCUGCUUGAUGAUUGCGUAGGCAUUGCUCAGAAAAGGCUUCACCUAUCAAAUUUUGGGUUUAAACAAUAAUAGUAUGAAAAUAACAAAAAAGUUAGUUUAUAACUGCAAUUAAUCCUAUCAAAAUGUAACACAACAAAGAGUUUCGAUAAUGAAAGGUAAGCAAAGGGGAGGCAGCGACCGCGAAGUAGACUCAACAGUGCAUAAAUGUUAAAAGGAUAGAAACAAACUAGAGGUUGUUUAGAAUGCUAAGAGUACGCAAUAGUACGUACUGCUUACCAAACUUGUGGAUGAGACAUGGAUAGCAUAAGAUAUGUAGUAUUAAUCUAUAUAUAUAUAUAUAUAUAUAUAUAUAUAUAUAUAUAUGUAGUGUAUAUAUUAUUAUGACUAGAUGCAUGACAAAUAUAUAAAAUUUGAGCAUCAAAUUUAAGUUUAAAUUAAUUAGCAUGCAUUCAACAAUAAUAGUGUAUACAAUGUAUUAAUUCAUGUUUUUUGGCAUAAACUCAUAAUAUUUGGUGAUUGUAUUUGGCCUGACUAAUUUGCAGUCGAGCAUUGUUGGAUGGCUUUUAGCUCCGUGAACGUUAUUUUCUCUGUUUAUAAGAUUCGAAUUCAAAACCCUACUUAAAAAAUAGGGUUAAUUUUAAAAACCUUCCUCGAGUUUUUUGAUAAUUUCACCUAAUAUUCUUGAAAUUUUUAAUAUUAUCCUAACCUUCCUUGACCCUAUAAAAUGACCAUAAUAACCUUAACAUAUUAAUAUUUUUUUCAUGCAAUUACACAAUCUGCUCCUAAUCUUAUGCUUAAGAAUGUAUUUCACACAAUUAGACAUUCAAUGAAAGCAAAAAUAGGAUUCACUUAUGGAAUAACCAAUUAUGUCCUAAACACAAUUUUUAACAUAUUACAAAUUAAUUUUAGUUUGACUUAGAGAACCUGGGGAUGAAUAAAAGAAAAUGCAAGCCAAAAGUUUAAGAAAGACUAGUCUAGUUUCAGUACUCCAAUAUUUGAGAGAUAUGGUGUUAUAUUAAUGCAAUUGGUAAAAUUUUCUUGAGUUUAACGGUGUUGAAUUUUUUUUUUUUUUUUUUUUUAGAUUGAGGCUUUAGAAUUGAGGAACCGAAGGUGAUAGUGGUCAUGGAAAUAGUGGUAUCGAUUUGGGAUGUGAAAAUAUGAAAGGUUUAGAAUAAUAGAUAUGAUGGUUAGAAAGUGAGUUUGUGAUGUUGUGCAUGUUUCCACUUUUUUAAAAAGAAUUUUAUGAGAAAAAUAAAAUGAACUUCACAAUUUUAAGAUGGCACUUUAAAAUUUUGACCAUUGAAUAGUUUUUGUUACGAAAAUGAUAAUUUUAUGGGAGAUAUAUAUAAUUUUUGAAACCUCAAAGGAACUAGGUGCAAAUAUAAAAAAUCUCAAGAUAGGUUUCUGAAAUUAUCCAUAAAAAAAAAAAAAAAUAUAUAUAUAUAUAUAUAUAUAUCAAAAUCCUUGCCGCCACGUAAAGUACAAAUGACCCAGGAGCAAUACAGCAAAGACGUUUGUUUGUUGCAAUUUCGUUUCGUGGAUGGAACGACGAAGGAGAUGAGAUGAGCGGCGAGCAAUGUCCCAAUUUAACCAAUGAGUCAACGUCCAAUCCAGUCGACACGCGGUCUUCAACAUCUACUCCCUUUCUCUGAACGUAUUUACAAGUUUGCCAUUUGAUCCUUCCUGCCGCCUUCACGUACGGAUGGCGCCCACGGUUUCAUGGAAAAUCCGGGGAGUCAGCACAGAUUUUCUAGGCCAGCCAGCUUACCUGUCUGAAUUUUUUUUUUUUGUUUGGGGGAGAAGUGGAUGAAUUUUUCUGGUCAAAUAAAAUCUUUUGUCAUAAGGUCUCAGCUGCAUAUUUUGGAGUGCAGCUAGUAGCACUUCAUUCUUAACAAUUAAUCACUUUGUCAAAAACAGUCUGGUAAGCACGUUUUAGUCAUUAUAGUGUCCGUGUACAGCUUUUCUGGAUCAGUAAAGUCUAAUUCAUUUCAUAACAAAAAUUAUUGAUUUGAUGAAAACAAAAUCACCAAAUGUAAUCUCAAUAAGCCGUAAGACCAUUUUAAUACUCUUUUGCCUCUUUUUCAGUCAUAAUUUUACCUUUUAAAAUCAGUUUCUGUGUAGAUGUGAAACUUGUCAUUCAGCUACAAUAACAAAGAAUCAAACUUGGAGAAAAGAGAAGCUUAAAGUAUAUAGUCUCGUCAACAAAAUCUUUAAUGAAAUCAAGGCCUGGUUUUGCAAGCAAGUUUUUGAUCAAGUUUGUCUGUUACAAGUUUUUUAAUAACUUUGGCUACAAUAAUCUCAAAAAAACUUCUCAAAAUUUUUAAACUAUACAUUUCAAAAUAUCCAAAAAUUUAUGUACUUCAAAAAUUUUAUCUAUAAUUUCUACAGUAAAAUUUUAGACAAACACCAAAAAAAUCCACUUGUUAAACGGGGCCAAGUUAGUAUGUGACACAGGUUAUUGAAAGUAUUUGACAUUUUCUUAAUAUGGCUGGUGUUGUAUCUGGUCUAGUGUAUGAGAAACAAAUAAUAAUAUAUUCAUUAAUACUGGAAUUCUAAAAUGAAGUUUGAACUAUUUUUGAAGAAAACUAAAACAACUGACCCAUUUUGUUGAAUCGUACCAUUAUUUGUGAAACCUUUUUAAGUAAAUAACUUGAAUACAUGUUGAGAUUUUCUUUAAGUUAGUAAUUAUCCACAGAUAUAACUGUCUUCAAAUGUAAAACUUUCCUCCUUAAACAUUUUGAUACCUCUUAUACUACGAUUCUAUUCCAAGCACCCAGCACUUUGUUGCAUAAAAUUAGAAGAUUAAUUCGGUACCUGGCAUAUGUAUGGUCUUAUCUGUAAUACUUAAUCAUGAAAUGCGCACACACGACAAAAAGUACAGAACUUGAAACACGGACAAAUUAGGUAAUAAACAUGAUGAUACUGUGAUAAAAAAUUCAAUGCUUGCAUUAGAAAAGACAUUUUUUUGGCCCACUAUAAAUCAUAAAAAUGUCAAAACCAAAUGCAGCAUACGAAUGGGUCGAAAGUCAAGGUUCAACUCGUGUCUCUUUUUCAACUACUCAGCAUGACUUUCUCUUAGAUCAAAUAAUGUGCAUGUAUUUAUGCGAUGGUGAUUUAAUAUCUCGAAUUUUUUAUGAUCCAGUUGAAUAUGCACCUUCCAUGUAGAUUAAUAGUACAUGUACAUAAAUGACGAUUCAGUUGGAUCAGUGAAUUAGUAGUUGUUUUAAAUAAGCGGGGUGAUUGAUAAAAAAGAAAAAAAAAAAAGUGAGUGGUACCUGGGGUUGCAAACGAAUCGAGCCGCUUGCGAUUGGUCGAGCUCGAACUCGAGCACAAAAUAUUAUGCUCGUUAGCUCGUGAGCCGGCUCGCGAGCUCGAGUAUAUAUAUAUAUAUAUAUAUAUAUAUAUAUAUAUAUAUAAUAUUUUUUUUAUUUUUUUAUUUUCAGCAUAUAUAUAUUUUUAUUUUAUGUAUAUAUAUAUUUUUUAUUUUUUUAUUUUAAUAGUAAAAUUACAUAUAUAUUCUUAAUAUUUUAUUAUUUAUUAAGAAAAAAAUAUUAUUUUAUUUAUUUUUUAAAAAAUAAAAUAAUUAUUUUUUAUUUUUUUCGAGGUCGAGUUUUAAAUUACUGGCUCGCUGAGCUCGAGUUCGAACUUGAUAAAAUUUAGUCGAGACUCGAUUGAAUUAGCCCAAAAUUCGAUUCGAUUCGCCUCAUUUGCAGCCUCAGUGGUACUAGAGCUCAAUAGCAGCGCCAGGGGUUUUUUUUUAAAAAAAAAAAUUUUAGAAACUACCACCAUUUCCCUUGUUCCGCACCGGAAUGCCUAAUCAUACAUACUCAGUCACUCACUCCCACGUUGAAUAUCGAAUAUUCCAUAUCGUAACGCGCACCUGCAGAGGAGCUUUUAAAAAUAAAAAGUCGGUCUCCUCUGUACCUGCCCAAUUCCCGUACUGUUUUACUGCUACUUUUUACCGCCACUACUGCUGCUUAGAAGUCUUGGAAGUUGGGGCUGGAAAUUGUGGCAGUGUGCAAUUUGGCCUGGAUGGAACCCAACCAAAUAAAUAGCACCCAGAUUUGCUGGAGUUUAUUAUACUAACACUACAAGUACUAAUAUACCAGUAGUAGCGCUUGAGUACUAGAGUUUGACCUGGAUUUGAGAAUUACUCAAUUCAAUUAAAUACUUCGAAUACAUGCAUGAUCAAUCGAAAAAAGAACGGAGAAUAACCUUUGGUUAUCUCAAGACUAUGUAUACAAGAACAAGAUCUUCAACUCUACUAAAUAAAAGCAGCAAGAUGAGGAGGAAAAUUGGAAAGAAAUCCAAAGGGAAGAGAGAAAACGGAGUUUGGAUAGAGUAUUAUUUAAAAUAUUAUUUGAAAUAAAAGCACUUUUUAUGAUGUGAUAUAUGUGAGAUAAAAUUGUAUAUUUUUUCAAAACAAGAUUAUUUUGAAAAUAAACUCAAAAAAGAGAUCAAUAUAGUUAUAUUUUUUCAAAAUAGGAUUAUUUUGAAAAUAAACUCAAAAAAGCAUCACUGUGGGCAAAAUUUUUUGGGAUUGAAUUUUGGAAAUAUGUAUACAUAUAUUUUGAAAAGAUUGGAAAAAAAAAACCUCGUGCUUUCGUAGUUAUUAAUCUAUAAACUGAAAAAAUUCUAGUUUCGGUCCGGUCUACACGUUUGCGCUGUGCGGUUAGCCAAUAAAUGACCGGUAUCUGGUACUUGAUGAUUACUAAUUCUAGCAUUUCCUCUCGCCUUCCUACCACUACUAACUACUAAGUACAAAGCCCACCUCCACUCUGCUGCAGCGUCAUGUAUACUGCAUCAACACCUCCCUGAUUCUUUGUUUCUUUCUUCUAGCUGCAUCGAAGUCCAACGUCAAGGGGUCGCUCUCUUUCGAUUGCUUCUUGAAACAAACAACCCCCACAAAAAUAAAAGGCCAAAAGGAAAACAGAAGCGUAAACCAUUGGCCUUUCAUCAAUCUUAGAUACAUAUCACAAGACCCGUACAACUUGAAGCCUCUCAAAGGUACAGAAUGGUUUCUUUCAUUUGUGAUUGCUCCUUCUUGCAUCAUAUCAUAUCCAAAAGGGAUCCUUUUGCUUAUUCUUUGCAUGCGUUUGACUUUAUUGAGAGCUUAAGCAUUAGUCUUAUUCGUUAUCUGGGUUGAUGAUUGAUCUCAGGAAAUUCAGUCUAAAGAUGUGGAUUUUUUUCCUUCUUUUUUUGGUGUUUUUGGUUUUGGGUUUUGUUUGCUUCUGUUGAUUUGUCUUUUCUACUUGCUCGUAUUAGUCAGUGAAUGAAGACCUAACCACUGUGAAGUCUUGGUUCUUCAUUUUGUUUCUAUAAAGGCUAUAAAAUUCUUCUCCUUCUUGUUAUUACCAAGCACGGCCUCUGAUUUUUUGCUGGUAAAAUAGAGUUCUGUGUUUGACUUUGGAUCCAUCUUGCCCUAUUUCCUUCCUUGCUUUCGUUCCUGAAUCUUUUUCUCAUUUCUUUUAUGUCAAAAUUAUCUUCUUCCAACUUUUGAAUUCGGACUGAAUUUAUGGGAUUUCUCACAGGUUUGGUCUUGAUUUCUAUCUUAGAAUGCUCCGAAGAGUACAAAGCGAAAGGGUUGUUGGUUCUUGCGGGGUUUCUUCUCUGUAAAUUGGUUAAUUGCAUGUCCUAAAGGUACUUUAUUUUCCUUUCAUGAAUUUUUGGUUUCCAAUUUUCCGCUUGUAUGUUAUUUUUACUAUCAAAAUGGAUUACUUGUUUCCUUUUUCUUAUUACUUCCUGGAAAAUACUAUUCUUUUGUGGUUAGAUCGGUAGUAAUCCAAAUUAGGAUUAUUGAGGGCUGACUGGAAGGUUAACAGGAUGGAAUGGAAAUCGGUUGGUUGGUGAGGAGUCUCAGCUUUUUGAGGAAAAGGUGAAAGGAGAACUUUUGGACGUCAUAUGCCUACUUUUUUGGAAGAUUCCUACUCAUUUUCAUCAAAGCAUCUUAAUAAAGAAGGCCUUGGGAAUUUCUAAUGGCAAAGAGAAAUUAUAAGGCAUCUAGAAUGAUUGAACUCCGAGCCACUCAAUUGCUGGCUGUUUGCGGAUUUCUAGUUCUUUGACCUUAUUGCUAACAUAUUCAAUGAUCUCAAGUUUAAUGAGCUUGUCAAAUACUAUUUGAAUUUCCCCUGCUUCAGAGCCUGUGAUCAGUUCUGCGUAUCUUAGUUUGAUAGUUCACAAAAAUUUUUCAAGAUGUCCUAAGAGUGAUUUUUAUCUCGGUUUGGUGGUAAUGCUACUCUUGUUAUAGGGAAUUGUUUCUCAAAUUUGAAGUAGUAAUUAUCCUUGUUUGGUCGUUUGUCAUAGAAUCCUAUAUUUCUUGCGCCAGUAGAUAAGUCAACCACAUAUUCCACUUUGGGAUGUGAUGCUUCUACAUCAAACAUAUCGGGUUGCCUAAUAAGGUGCAUAGUGGAAAGAUUCCAGAAUCAGAGGCUUGACUACUUCACCUUUCGAAGUUAAGGUUGAGCUAGAAGCAUUUUUUCAAAUUGAAUUUCUUUAGGAGUCUGAGCUUAGUUGGAGUUGGGUGAAUUGUAUGUUCCCCUUUAAACUUGUUAUCUUAUGGUGUGCCUUUGAGAAGAUAAUGGGAAAUUCAUGUUACCUGCAAGAGCGGCAAUCAUAAGACAUCUCUAAUGGGCAUGGUAGUAUCAGCUGGAUUGUCAAACUCUUUAUUUGUCCUUUCAUCUCUUUCUCUGAUAUAGCAGAACAGCCGCAAAUGUCACCGCAGAUAAACAAAAAGGCCCUCUUUUGUUUCUUCAGAUGAUUAGACAAGGGGCAUUUGUAAUGUACCUUGCAUUUAUAUUUUCAUCUUCAAAUGGUAGAAAAGUCAAAUCUGAUAAAGGAACAAGUCCUUGUUUAAAACCAAAAAAACAGGUUGGUAAAACUGGUUACAGUAUUGUCUGCGCUUUAUGGGGCUUAUGCUAAGUGGUCUUAUUAGCUUUCAGUUUAUUGUGGAAAUACUUUCUAUGAGAGUUAUGAGCCUUAUGAGGCUGAAGUUCUUACUGUUGUUUCUUGCAAGCUGAAGGUGGAUUAUCCCAGCAGACAUUUUAUCUCCUUGUAAGAGAGACAUAUGUAUUCCCUUUCCUGUGGUUAGGAUGAAACGAAUGCUGAGUUAGAAUGACAGAUGAGGUUAUUCAGGAGACUGGAGGGAACAUUUGAUUUGUUAUUUGCAUCAUAUGUUGCAUCUUAUAUUUACUAAGAUUUAAUAGCUUGCUGUUUACUUUGCUUGCCAAGUCUUGAUUGUGACUUUUGUUGAGCAAGUUGUUUGACAAAUUGGUCGCUUUUCUUUUUCAAUAGGUUACCUUUGCCUGUGAUUACCCUACCCUGACUUGUCAUAGCUGAGCCAAUUCAUUCACUUACUCUCAGAUGCAAGCAUCACAGGCUUCUCAGACUUCAGAAGCCAUCCACAUGUUGUACCAUCAACCCUUUCAGCAGAUCGAGUCAUAUAACUUGUCCCCUUUCCAGGUAUUGAACAGCAAUGUCUGUGCUGAUAAUAGCAGCCAAGGGGCCCAGGUGUCAUUUCAAGCUUGCAACGAACAAUUUGCCACCUUGGAAUCCUUACCAAUGACUGAUUAUGUUAACAGCGAUUCACCUUCUACUGUGAGCAUCUCAUCUAAUAGAAGUCCUUUCUCACCACAAUGUUCGCAGUCCUAUAUGUCAGAUGUCCAUCACUCUUCUGAUAAUACUUAUGGUUCACCAUUAAGUGGGUCCUCUGGUGUUGAUGAUAGCAAUGAAUUGAGGAAUGUGCUGAGAGAGUUGGAGAUCAAAUUAAUGGAAGAGUCUGAAAUUGAUGACAGCAGCUCUUGCUCCGUCAACAAUGUAGUGGGUCAACCUGUUUUCUCAACAAGGGGGAACCGAGUGGUGCAAAUGGCCCAUACCAUGGACUUGAAACAAUUACUUCUUGCCUGUGCUGAAGCAGUAUCAAAUGCUGAGAUUUCCACUGCACAAGGUUUGAUGAAUGAGUUAGAACAGAGGGUUUCAAUCUCUGGGGAUCCUAUUCAGCGAUUAAGUGCAUAUAUGAUGGAAGGGCUUAGAGCACGGUUGUUGUCCUCAGGAAGCAUAAUAUACAAAAAACUGAAAUGCAAAGAACCAACAGGUCCAGAAUUAAUGUCAUAUAUGCAUUUUCUCUAUCAAAUCUGCCCAUACUUCAAGUUUGCCUACAUGUCUGCCAAUGUUGUGAUUGGUGAAGCUAUGGAACAUGAAAACAGAAUACACGUCAUUGAUUUUUGUCUUGCUCAGGGAAGCCAGUGGGUUUCGUUUAUUCAGGCGCUUGCACAUCGUCCUGGUGGACCUCCAUACAUUCGUGUGACAGGUGUUGAUGACUCCCAGUCUGUUCAUGCCCGAGGCGGAGGACUUGAUGUUGUGGGUCAGAGGUUAGCCAACGUUGCGGCAUCUUGUGGGGUGCCAUUUGAAUUCCAUGGUGCGGCUAUCUCAGGAUGUGAGGUAGAGCUGGAAAAUCUUAAGGUUCGACAUGGAGAAGCUCUGGCUGUUAAUUUUCCUUACAUGCUGCACCACAUGCCUGACGAGAGCGUAAACACAAUGAAUCAUCGAGACCGCUUACUGAGACUAAUAAAGAGCUUGUCACCCAAGGUAGUCACUCUUGUUGAGCAGGAGUCAAACACGAAUACAGCCCCAUUCUAUCCUCGGUUCUGUGAAACGCUGGAGUACUACACAGCUAUGUUUGAGUCGAUAGAUGCUACCCGACCGAGGAAUGAUAAACAGCGGAUAAGCGCGGAGGAGCAUUGCAUUGCAAGGGACAUUGUCAACAUUGUAGCAUGUGAAGGAGCUGACCGGGUAGAAAGGCACGAACUUUUUGGUAAGUGGAGGUUGAGACUUACGAUGGCGGGAUUUGUGCCUUGCCCUUUGAGUUUCUCAGUAGGCAAUGCCAUCAGGGACAUGUUGAAGGAGUACAGCCCCAAUUACAGGCUUGUUGACAGGGAUGGUGCACUCUAUCUUGGAUGGAAGAACAGAGCCCUCGCAACUUGUUCCGCUUGGAGAUAGAUCUCACCAGCAAUUGCUGCGUGAAAUGUAUAAAAAUUUUGCCUAUCAAUUCGUGCCACUUUGUACUGCCAUUGUUGCUGUCACUUGUACUUAUUCUCUAGCUAAGACUAGCUAUAUUUCUUUAGGACCUUCCUCUUGAGAGUCGACGACUACUUUGUACAUGUAAACUAGCCAGCAUAGGGAUUAAAACUUGAAAUUGUGAGCUCAGAACCUGCACUUCUUGGUAAAGGAAGAGACGUUAGUGUUUCUUUUACCUGCUUCGGGCGUGCGUUAGUCCUAAUAGUUAGGUUGUUUGACCAGGCAUAAUCUCUGUUAGCCAUUUCUUUUCUUCUUUUUUUUCCCCUUUUUGCAGACUUUGGCAGUUUGUGAAUUACCGAGGAUUAGGCCCAAUUUUAUCUUGUUCGUCACAUGUUGCCAUGGAUUUUGAAAAAGUCUCUCAUGUAUGAGAAAAUCCAAUCACUUCCCCCCCCCCCUCCCCGCCCGGGCCCAAGAUUUGCUUCUUCAAUACCUGAAUCUCAGGAGUUAUUCUGAUAUUGAAAUAGAAGUUUGAAUCUAAGUCUAAUACAAACUCAUAUUCACGUUCACAGGGGUUGUUUGGAUUGUAGUUUUUUAGAAAAGGAUUUUUCACAUUUUCUAUGAACACAUUUUUCAAUCAUUUUUUUAUCUAAUAUAUAUCAAAUUGCUAUAAUACAUUUUUCUUCAAAAAUUUCAAAAGAUAGCAACCCAAAUGGGAAUAUCAUGAAAACGUUUCCAAUUAUCAAAUUUUUUUCCUUAAAAACAAAAAUUUCAAUCAUAGACAAGUUUUAUGAGUUUUGUCAGUUGCCACUGCCACGCCAUCCGGGGACAUAAAAUUUAUUUAGGACGGAACAUGAAAAAAUUCAUCUUUGGGGAUUCCAUUAAAUUUUAUGGCACGAAAUGGAGGAAAUAUGAUGAACCAUUUUAAGUCAAAAAGAGCACCGGUGUCACCUGCGCUUAUUCUGUUUGACCUUCCCUGAAACCAGACGGCUAAAUUGCUUCCGAGUCCCAAGAAAAACGACAGAAAUGAUGACAUGAAUUAAUAAGAUACCAUAUUUGGUAAAUCCCCUCGAAUUUGCUCCAUGAUAGUGCGAGGUGCCAAACAAGAACUAAUGGUCUGUUUGUUCAAAUGAACCCCCUUUUCCCAAAUACGAGCAGCGUGGCCAAUUAGAAAAUUGAGCUUGGGGCAGCACCGGGACAGUUGCGUCACUGGAUCAAUCUGACAUUCUGGCUUCUCUGCCACCAGAGAUUAAUAAUGCCCCCAAGGUCAAGGUGAAGGGUCCGUUCCAAGAAAAAACCAUACUUAGGAUAGUCAUAUCAGCCAUCAGCAUCAUUUCAUUCCAGUCUGACACCGCUCGCUGAUUUGUCUCCCUGUGAAACCUCGUACCAACCCUCUAUUAGGUAUGUCACACAUUGGCGCGUUUAUUCAUUUUUGCCUUUUUCUUCUUGUUUUUCUUUUUUUUUUUUAAUUCAUAUCUUCCAAAUUUUAGAAGAUGGCUAAUGAAGGUUAUCCAUAUUCAGUAAAAUGUCGCGGCCUAACCUGCAUAUCUAGUCUAGUAUCCACGCGCGGGUUUGGCAUAUCUGUUUAUAUAUUUGAGGGCCGCCAGCAAAGCUGAUAUGGCUUUUCCCCCAAAAUUCAUGAAAUUUUCUGGCUCGAAAAUGAAGAUGAACUUUUGGUUUUCUCUGGCUUUUGCCUGUUUUCUGAUUUUACCAAUGUGAUUCUUUGUAUAAGUUGUUUCAAUUGUAAUUAUAGCUUCCAAGGAAUAAGGCUGAAAAUUGGUGCAAAGCUAUACAUAUGGUGUGUAAUGAAAUUCAAGUAGAUAUACAUGUGCCAGUGUAUUCUUCCUACCCUGAAAAGCAAUUUUUUUUUAAAGGGGGUUUUUUUUUUUUCAGGCAAAAGAUUGUGUGACUGUGUGUGUUGUUUAUGAGUGGGCGUGGAUGAUAGUGCAGGACUAAAAAUAGUGCCUGAGUGUGCGUUUCUACUCGCCAAUGUCAGUCGGGCUGUUUUUUGUUCUUUUCUACAGAUCAGCCUGAUACAUCAAAUUCAAGAAAAAUUGAUAUUCUUGUCCAAAUUAUUUCGUAUAUUGAACUAUUGUAUUUUUUCAGUAUUAUUCCGCACAAUGCCUUUAAAGCUCUGAGGGAACAGAAAAGUUCCUUUUAGUUUUGCAGGUGAGGCCUGACCGUCUUGAAUAUUUCAUGACAGAUUAUGAUAUCUUUUUGUAUGGAGCAUUACAAACAUUAUAGAAUUGGGAAACCUCAUCUACAAUAUUUGCUACCGAAAGCAGUAAGUUUAUACUUGCAGAUUAUCAAAAACGUGAUGAGCUGAUGGAGGGAUAGUUGCAGGAUAUUGUAAGAACGUUAAGGUGAACUUUUGGAUGAGUUGACCUUCAAGAAGCCGUUCAAAUUAAUGGCGACUGACGAGUCACAAGAGUAUGCAGACUGGCGUGCUAGACAAAAAGAACGAGAGAGGGAACGUCGCCGAAUGCGAGACAGACAAAGGAGGCAGUCUAUGAGUCUUGAAGAGAGGGAGAGACACUUGGCUAGACGGCGUAGAAACUAUCAGUUGCGAAGACAAAGAGCAGCCAACGCUCAAUUGGGCUUUCAGCAAACACAUGUUAACUUGAGCAAUGCGAGUAGUGAAGUUGAAUCGGACGUGCAAAAUGAUAAUCUUGCCCUGGUUUCCCUUCCAGAAUUUACUGUCCAAUCUAAUUGUGGAACAUUUGAAGAUGGAUUUGGUGGAGCAUAUGAAAAGCAUGCUUCUGUCAUCAAGUUUGAUGGUAAAUGUUCUGUUACUUAUUGCGUCUAAACAUACAUGUAUGACAAGUUAAAGGGGUAAAAAGCAGACUGUUAGUAGUAUAUCGGCAUAUGAUAAAUGUUUAUUCUCUGUAUCUUUCUGUAUUGGCGCAUCACAUAGUUAUGCUACUUGCUUGUGAAUCCAAUAGGCGAAACAACUCUACAUGAAUCACACAAGUAUCCAAGAAUUCUGCGCUUCAACCGAAUAAAACAACUCGCGCGAAGACUGAAUUCUCCUGUAGAUAAAACCGGUACAGACGGAGACAGUCGACAAAUUGGAGCAGCUGUGACAAACGAGGAAAUAGUAAAUCCACAUUGUAAGUGCAGAAUCAAACUUUUUUAGCAUUUUUUUGACCUGCCAUUCCAUGUCAGGAUAAGUAUAGUUUAAUGUACAAAGAUCAAGGCCUGAACGUGUUUUUCACGGUUUAUGGACUAGUUUAUGUUUGUCGUCCAGGCGUUACUGGAAGAAAGAUACGGUUGAUUCAUGUUAAACAUCUUGCACGAGCUCUACAUUCCAAUGUGGGAAAAACUCUUCAGCAAAACUAAUUUUAUGCAGACCGCAAGGUAUUGUUGUUAAAUAGAUUUUCUGUUGCACUGACAAAAUUUCCCAAAACUUUUUUGCAAUAUUUUUACUGACUCGCUCACUGUAUUGAAAUUUCUUCCCAGGACAAAGACAAUGUCAUAGAAAUGGAGAUUGAUGAGAUGACAGCAGGUAUUAUUACAUUUUGGAAUGGGCAUUAUUCAAAGGAUUCCAUCUAAAGGGAAUAUUAGAUUUUAAAAUUACCGUGCAUGCAACUUUUAGCUUAGACUUGUUUCAGCAAAAACUGAUGUAAUCACUGAUGAGGCAUCCUUCUUGGAUAUCAAAGGAGUCCUGUCAUAUUGACAACUUACACAAUAAACUUCGGGAUGUGCCUCCAUUUUGCUCAUACUUGGUUACUUUCUGCAAUCAAACCUCAAAAUCAGAGAUUUGUUUGGUUGAAUUCGAUGCUUGUACAUUUAUGUAACUGUUUUUUUGCGUUUCUGAGUUACAUGGCAUGCAGAACAAUGACAUAGGAUAUAUGACACAGGGACUUUUCUUUUCUGGACUGUAAUAUUUCCAAGUUUUGUUAAUUCAUCUGCUGUUGCCCUCUCCCUUGCCAACAGUCUAUUCAGAUUGUUCAUUUUAGUGAUGGUGUUGUUGUAUGUUAGAACCUCUGGGGCAAGCAAAGAGAGAAGUGAUGGUUAGUCAAACCCCCGUCUUCCUAAUUAAUUUCAAGAGAAGAUGCUACGGUAGAAUUAAGUAGUGACAGAGCAAAGUCUUGUGGCCGCUGGGGAUCCAACUUGUAAAAACGAGCUUGUGAAAUUUUCUUUUGGCUUCUCCAGACAUUUUCAUUACUAGAUUUUAACAUUGUCCAUAAGACUUGAUCCAAGGGACCCUGCCUGCUAUAGAGUACAGAUUUGUGCCUCCUUCUUCUAAAUUUGAGUGCUUAACCAGCAGUGCACAAAUGACGAAAUGAAAAAAGAUCUUCAAGUCAUAAUUAAUACAUAACGAUUACUAUUUGGUUUUACCCUUUCUUGAUAACAGUUUGUUCCUUUUUUUUAAAAAUGAAUUCGAGCAAUCUUGUUUAGGCUAGGGAUGUUAAAAAUGUUGGAAGAGCAGAGAUUAAAAAAACAUUUUCAUCGUACUUUUUACAUGUGCCAGAUUCUAGGUAACCGUGCACAAUGGCUAGGAUGUUUGGCAUCGGAUAGAAGGUGUUUGCUUUGAUUAAAUAGGAAAAUCUUCAUCGCCCAUCAUGGAGGAUUUAAGCCGAUCCCAACACAUACUAGCUAGCAGAGGAGAUUCAAUUUUUUUUUUUUCCCUCAUGAAUCAACCAAUAAACAACCAGUGGAAUUUGGCGGCAAUAUCUGCCAAAUUCCGGCUAACACUCGCACCAUUAAUUACUGGGCAGUUUACCUUGCCUAAAUCUUAGUGUUGUAGUUUUUCCGGUAGAUGAUGGAGAUCCCAAACCAUCUUCAGGUCAGAAAGCUGUAGGGUCUUAGAAUCGAACAACAUGAUUGAUUUUCACCAAAAUUGUGGUAACAGUUAAAGAAAUGUAACAUUAAAUUCAAAUUAUGACAUGAUAAAUAAUGAUGGUUAUUAGUCCAAUAAUGAUAUUUAUUGUCUUUUUUUUUUUGUUACUUGUCAUCAUCUACAUCUACACCUACUCCUAGUCCUAGUCCUAAUCUAGGAGGUGAUUCAACAAGGUCACGAGAAACCGACGGGAACUAAACCACCAUCGGACCAUACGGGUGCACAGCACCCACAUGGAUCUUAAGCAAAGUCACAUUAAGUGGCACUUUUUGAUGGGAGGCAAGGGUUGACCUCCCACCCCAACAAUGGCCAAAUAAGGGCUCUUAAGUCUUUCUCGAGUUCAAAUCCUGCGCCUAGCGGUUGAGGGUGGGAUAGAUAUAGGAAAGGGUGGGACUUGGGAGGAUUAAAAAAGUUAUCCUAACAGUUACAAAAUAGAACGUCAAGUAUAAAUUAUUAAAAGUAAUAAUAUAAAACCCUUUGAUUACCUUGCAAUCCAUCUCAAGGUUCACUUUGUAUAGACAUAGGGGUGUCCUUUGUACUUUUUUAAGGGGCCUGCCAAAAAGACUAAAAUAUAAAUGAAGUAAAAACCAAAAAAUAAAGAAAACGAGAAAUGGAAUUUGCAACUAUCUCUUCAAACAAGUUUUCAAUUUACAAGAGUGAGUAGGAAUAAAGAAUUAAUUAAAUAUGGUGUCACAUUAUUAACAAAAACAACACUACAAAGAAUGCAAAGAGUCAUGUACAAAGACUUCACAUCUAUUCAAUUUAAAAAAAAACAUGCAUCUGAUUUCAUAUUGAAUCAUUUCAUGCAUAAUUAGCAAAUCCAAUUCACAUACAUAAUGGUAGAAUAUGCAAACAUCUAUGCAAGAUUGAAGUUUUAUUAUGAGAGUUCAGACUGCCCAACUCAAAAGAAAAAAUAAAGCCUAUUCAUAUACUAUAACAAUUUAUUUUUCUUAGCCAAAAAGAAAAAAAAAAAGGUAAGCAAUGAUGUUUGUUGAUGCUCAUAUCAAAGUCCACAAAUUAAUUAACUCAUUUUAACUCUAUUAUUACAAUUUAUUUGUAUUAGACAGGGAAAAAAAAAAAAAAGGAAACCCAUAAGCAAAGAUGUAAAUAUUGGCAUAUUGUUCAAAAUAUUGAUACUUAUGUUAAAGUCUUUGGCAUCUUAGUCACAUCUUUUUCCUUUUUUAAGAGUCACAGUUUGAUGGCUUUAAUUUACACUUUGAUUGGAAAGUGAGUUUGUUGGAGAACAGGAAGAGGAUGGAACUGGGAUAAAUAUACAAUAUGCCUUUACAUAAUUAAUAUGAACGCCCUUUUAGAAAUUGAUGUUACAUUUUUACCUUUUAUGUUACAAAUAUUUAUAAGCCCCAUUUGUUGUGCUCAUGCUUGCAAAGCACAUGAAGUAUUUAUUGCUUGGGGCAUUUUAAUUAGAAUCCUUUGGAAGGUAGGCCAGAACUUCAGAGAAAUGGAUCUGACUUCAGAGAAAUGGAUUAGGCUAACUGAAUAAGGAUACUAUUAUUAUCAGAUGAGAGACACAAUGAUGAAGGUCUGCUCCUGUCUUAAAUGGUUGGUCAUGAGCGACCCUCACGGCCAACCAUUUCUUCAGAAGUUAAUUGAAAGGUCCCAAAUGGAUGCCUCAGUGAAAUUGUCAUAGAAGCAGUAAGAGAGAAGCAAUCCUUCUUGAAUGUUUCGUUUUGCAAGCCAAGAUUAGAAACUUUUACCACUCACUGUACUAAGAAAUUCACUUCCUAUUAAAUAUCCUACUCUAUGCUAACUGCAUGCCUGCCUGCUUAUUUCCAACAGUUAAAUUGGCAAUUAAGAGCCGCGAUUGACAAGCUGAUUGGGACUGGAAUGGAUACGGCCUUCUUAAUCUAAUUGCAGACCGCGCAAAUCGCCUUUCAUUUGAUUUUUUUUUUUUGAGUAGUAUAUGCCUAAACUCUUUCUAGUGAAAUGUAAAUUUGCGGGAUUAUUCUAGCUUACCCGUGUUUAAUUGGAACAAAACCAGAAUCAAUGAUCAUGCCCGUAUUUCUGUACAAGUAUGGAACUUACUUUACAUCAGGCAAAGGUGCUGACAAUCCCCCCCAAGCAGGUCUUUCACUUUCACUUUCACUUUCACUUGUUUUGGAGGAGAUUACAGCCGGUAACAGUCACCAACAGUAGUGUUACAGCUUGCUGAACAUAAGUGCGGGAACUAUAUGAUUCAGAUGGCUUUAGCACUCGCGAACGCAACUCUUUCCCAAAGCUUGGUUGCUAAAGGUUAUGGGCUCGUGGAAUCCUCCAACUCAUUUUUGUUUCUGUGGGUUUUACGUUCAUGCCAAAGGUUCCUUCCAACUUCCAAGCAAUCAUUAAUGCUCUUCGACCACAGUGUAUUUUUUCCUAAACUCCUUGUUAGCCGCUGGGAAGAUAUGAAGCCCACGCACUUUGCACUUGCAUGAAGCGCAGCAGCUGCAUUGGGAUAAACACCAUCUAUCGUUCUUGGUCCAUUUUUAGGAUGGCAUCUGGAAGGCUGGUGUUGCGUGGAAGUUGUACUCAGAUAAACGUCAUUCAUUCUACAUUAGAAGCCUUUCGUAUUGAUGAGGUCUCUUCGUACGUAAAUCCGUUUUCUUUCCUUUUAUUAGUUUAUUUUUAGGUGCUGGGAUGGUAUUUGGAAGGAAGUGGUGAUGAUUUGGAGGGAAGAAAAAAAAAAGGAACGAAAACAGAUAUGCAACUCCACAGAAAAAAAGGUGCAACUAACAAGUCCAUUUUGUCUUGAACCCAAACUGCACAGGAGCCUUCCUCCACCAUUUUCUGAACUCCCAUGCUCAAUAUAUCAUCGUUUUGGAUGGAAAUACAACUGCAACCUUUGACCGUCAAUCAUAGUGGAAAAGUACUGAUUGAAAACAAAAAGAAAUUCAAAGAGCAAAGGGCAACAAGCACCCCAAGCAUAGGGGGAUAAUUCAGCCUAUAAUCUUUUGAAGCUAAUUUAUAAGCUGUUUACAUCAGAAAUAAGGUCAUGCACACAUCCUAACACCAUAUACCAUUUCAACCGAAUUUAUCUCCUUAUAUUAUAUAUAUAUAUAUAUAUAUAUAUAUAUAUAUAUAUAUAAACGGUUGAUAAUGCAGAAUUUCACUAGCUUGCCACCAUGAGUGAAAAAACCAUCAUGUCUCGUGCAAUAUUUGUGAUCCGUGUAUGCAUAUUACACGAUUCUGAUCGAAGGCGAAUGCACAGAUAAAAGGCUAUAGCGUGUACCCAGGAUUCCCUGGUCCAAACUUGGAACAUAUUUGAGCAUCAAGCAAAUAGGGCAGCUGGAGGACAGCUUAAAUUGCUAUUGAUCUGAUGGUUAAUGAUUGGGCUUUCCCAGCAUAUUUAGAAUAGUAGUUUACUAUAUCUAUAUUUUUUCGAGUUUUACCGUUUACCGUCCCAAUAUUCGGAUUCACCACGAGGAUGAGUACCUAACACUGCAAGUAAACAAAACACAAACGAAUUUCAAAUGAAGAAAGAACUCCCAACAAUACUGAAAUAAAGCUUAAACUGGCAAGUUCACAGAAACUGAAUCAGCAUUUAGUAAUUCCUGUCCCCAGGAAUGGAAUAGCCAAUCUUCCUCUCCAGAUACUCCACUAAUAAUGAACGAAACGUUUCUUACAGUCUGCGUAUAGCAAAACCCAUGAAGGGAAGCCGGCUAUAACAAAUAAGAACUUUGACAAAAACCAGAGAUUUAGUUCGAAUAUUACAGCAGAAAAGGGAAAAAGAAUCUGAGGGAAACGAAAAAUCUGCCUUUUU
rnacentral:lncRNA from 1 species